AUUGAACGCUGGCGGAAUGCUCUACACAUGCAAGUCGAACGGCAGCACGGGGCAACCUGGUGGCGAGUGGCGAACGGGUGAGUAAUACAUCGGAACGUGCCCAAUCGUGGGGGAUAACGUAGCGAAAGUUACGCUAAUACCGCAUACGAUCUACGGAUGAAAGCGGGGGAUCGCAAGACCUCGCGCGAGUGGAGCGGCCGAUGUCAGAUUAGGUAGUUGGUGGGGUAAAGGCUCACCAAGCCAACGAUCUGUAGCUGGUCUGAGAGGACGACCAGCCACACUGGAACUGAGACACGGUCCAGACUCCUACGGGAGGCAGCAGUGGGGAAUUUUGGACAAUGGGCGCAAGCCUGAUCCAGCCAUUCCGCGUGCAGGAUGAAGGCCUUCGGUUGUAAACUGCUUUGUACGGAGCGAAACGGCGAGCUCUAAUACAGUUUGUCUAAUGACGGUACCGUAAGAAUAAGCACCGGCUAACUACGUGCCAGCAGCCGC
rnacentral:rRNA from 1 species